GGGAAAUCCCAGUUAAUCUUGCAAACUGCUCUUUUUUAAAUAGCCUUAGACUUGACGACAACCAGUUUACGGGCCCAAUUCCUGCAGAAAUUGGCUUGCUUGGUCGGCUCAAGAAUUUUAAUGUAGCAAACAAUCGAUUGACUGGAGCAGUUCCACGUUUCACAAAUGCAACUUUUCCUGCAGAGAUCUAUGCCAAUAAUGCCGGACUGUGUGGACCACCAUUAACUCUUUGUGAGGAUAUUGCUAAGAAACCCCGUACUGGAAUCAUUGUUGGUGCAGCUGUUGGUGGGGUGACUUUAGGUGCUGUAUUAUUGACCAUUGGUAUGUUCUUAUAUAUGAGAAAGAUAUCCAGGAAGAGGAAAAAUGCAGAUGAUCCUGAAGGGAAUAAAUGGGCGAAGAGUAUUAAGGGUUCCAAGGCAAUCCAGCUUUCAAUGUUUGAGAAAUCUACUUCAAAAAUGAGAUUAAGUGAUCUCAUGAAGGCCACCAACAACUUCAGCAAGAACAAUAUUGUUGGGUCAGGAAGAACCGGGACAUUCUACAAAGCAGUACUUGAUGAUGGCACUUCACUUAUGGUUAAGAGGUUGCAGAAUACUCAACACUCAGAGAAAGAGUUUACAUCCGAGAUGGCUACGUUGGGAAAUGUGAAGCACCGUAACCUGGUACCUCUUUUAGGUUUCUGCAUGGCGAAAAAAGAAAGGCUGUUGGUCUACAAAGAUAUGCCAAAUGGCACCUUGCAUGAUAGGUUGCAUUCAUUGAGUGAAGGGGAAAAAACUCUUGAGUGGCCUAUGAGAAUGAAAAUCGCCAUUGGAGCAGCCAAAGGAUUUGCAUGGCUUCACCACAACUGCAAUCCUCGUAUCAUUCACAGAAAUAUUAGUUCUAAAUGCAUCUUGCUGGAUGUGGAAUAUGAACCUAAAAUAUCAGAUUUUGGACUUGCUAGGCUCAUGAAUCCAGUUGACACUCAUUUGAGUACCUUCGUAAAUGGGGAAUUCGGGGACUUUGGUUAUGUUGCACCUGAGUAUGCGCGAACUCUCAUGGCUACACCAAAAGGUGAUGUGUACAGUUUUGGUGUUGUACUUCUCGAGUUAGUUACAGGUGAGACACCAACUUCUGUUGCCAAAGCUCCCGAGACCUUUAAGGGGAAUUUGGUGGAAUGGAUCACACAACUCUCUGGUGAAUCUAAGCUUCAAGAUGCGAUUGACCAUUCUCUGUCUAGUAAAGGUUAUGACAGUGAGAUCUUCCAGGUCCUUAAAGUUGCUUGUCGAUGUGUGUUGUCUGCUGCUCCUAAGGAGAGGCCAACAAUGUUUGAACUGUACCAGCUUCUGAGAGCCAUUGGAGAGCGGUAUCAUUUCACAACUGAUGAUGACAUUAUGAUGCCUGAGAGUGAUAGCGGAUUCCAAAUGGACGAGCUCAUUGUUGCUCAAUAAGUAAACGAGGUCCUUCGAUAAUGGUUGAGUAAGAUACAAUAAUUACUAGAUCAUUUUCUAUCCUGUACAAAUACCACGGUUCACUAUCUAUAUAGGUCAUUCUAUUUCUACUGUGUAAGUCCCUUAUUCAUAGCUACCCAACUAUGUAAUUUGUGCUUCUUUUUCUGUAU
rnacentral:misc_RNA from 1 species